rnacentral:rRNA from 1 species
UAGGGAAUCUUCGGCAAUGGGGGGAACCCUGACCGAGCAACGCCGCGUGAGUGAAGAAGGUUUUCGGAUCGUAAAGCUCUGUUGUUAAGGAAGAACGAGUGUGAGAAUGGAAAGUUCAUACUGUGACGGUACUUAACCAGAAAGGGACGGCUAACUACGUGCCAGCAGCCGCGGUAAUACGUAGGUCCCGAGCGUUGUCCGGAUUUAUUGGGCGUAAAGCGAGCGCAGGCGGUUAGAUAAGUCUGAAGUUAAAGGCAGUGGCUCAACCAUUGUAGGCUUUGGAAACUGUUUAACUUGAGUGCAGAAGGGGAGAGUGGAAUUCCAUGUGUAGCGGUGAAAUGCGUAGAUAUAUGGAGGAACACCGGUAGCGAAAGCGGCUCUCUGGUCUGUAUCUGACGCUGAGGCUCGAAAGCGUGGGGAGCGAACAGG